GGCUCAGUGGUUCAGUGCUUACACGUUAGGUUUGCGACCAAGGGGUUCCGGGUUCGAAUCCUGGCUAGGACA